UACGAGGGGGGCAAGCGUUGUUCGGAAUUACUGGGCGUAAAGGGCUCGUAGGCGGCCAACUAAGUCGGAUGUGAAAUCCCCAGGCUUAACCUGGGAACUGCAUCCGAUACUGGAUGGCUUGAAUCCGGGAGAGGGAUGCGGAAUUCCAGGUGUAGCGGUGAAAUGCGUAGAUAUCUGGAGGAACACCGGUGGCGAAGGCGGCAUCCUGGACCGGCAUUGACGCUGAGGAGCGAAAGCCAGGGGAGCAAACGGG
rnacentral:rRNA from 1 species